UCUUUAAAAAGCGGUUGGUACUAUUGAGCUGUCGCUUUGUGGUAGUUUCUCCAACUCAUGGAGAAACUUAAGAUUCAUGCUCCAACUGUAAAAUCUCGCAAAACCAUUCUUUGGCAAAACCAAACAAUUCAAACCUGUUGGUGCAAUUUUAAGCACACGCAUAGGGUUCAAACAGAACAGAAAUGGGCACUUUUUGUCUUAUUUACACUUUUUUUGACAGUAAAAAUGUUUACAGGAUAGUUCAGUUUCAAGAGUUUACUCAGUUUGUAGUUUCGAUUUACUCUUUGAGCUCUGCACAUUUUGAUUUUCUUCAACGAGUUCAACUGUUACACCUUCAAAUACAACGAAUUCAACUAGAUAACUACAACAGAAGCUGUUCCAUUUUUUUAUGGGUUGAUCAUAUUUGUAUUCAAUCGUAAAUAUUUAAAUUGUUUUUCAUACAUUCAGAACCUCUUUUUUUAAUCUUAUUUAAAAUAUGACAGGAUUAAUAAGCUUUUAAUAUCAAUUAAAUGGCACCAAACAAUAAUGAAGAUCCCGGUGUUAAGCUGGAAAAAGAAUCAAAUAGUCUUAAAUUGUUGCAAGAAAAAAUUGAAAAAUGCCAAACUCUGAGCAAAAGUAUGUGUGGAAUUCUAACAUCCUUUGAUGAGCAUUUGAUGAAACUGGAAGAGACCAUAUUACCAGUGUACUUAGAAACUGGGAAUCUUCAACGCCGCCAAGAAA